rnacentral:pre_miRNA from 1 species
GGAAUGUUGUUUGGCUCGAGGUCAUCUGUGAUAGCCUCUGAAAUUUUCUUAGGGGCCUUUUUACUUUCCCGGAAAAUUUCUGCAUCUACAUACCUCUAGUUGAUCUCGGACCAGGCUUCAUUCCCG